GACGAACGCUGGCGGCGUGCUUAACACAUGCAAGUCGAACGGAAAGGCCCUGCUUUUGUGGGGUGCUCGAGGGGCGAACGGGUGAGUAACACGGGAGUAACCUGCCCUGGACUUUGGGAUAACUUCAGGAAACUGGGGCUAAUACCGGAUAGGAGCUCCUGCUGCAGGGUGGGGGUUGGAAAGUUUCGGCGGUUGGGGAUGGACUCGCGGCUUAUCAGCUUGUUGGUGGGGUAGUGGCUUACCAAGGCUUUGACAGGUAGCCGGCCUGAGAGGGUGACCGGCCACAUUGGUACUGAGAUACGGCCCAGACUCCUACGGGAGGCAGCAGUGGGGAAUAUUGCACAAUGGGCCGACGCCUGAUGCAGCAACGCCGCGUGCGGGAUGACGGCCUUCGGGUUGUAAACCGCUUUCGCCUGUGACGAAGCGUGAGUGACGGUAAUGGGUAAAGAAGCACCGGCUAACUACGUG
rnacentral:rRNA from 1 species